rnacentral:rRNA from 1 species
GUGCCAGCCGCCGCGGUAAUACGAAGGUGGCAAGCGUUACUCGGAAUUACUAGGCGUAAAGGGCAGGUAGGUGGUUUGAUAAGUCUGUUGUGAAAGCUCCUGGCUUAACUGGGAGAGGUCAACAGAAACUAUCAGGCUUGAGUAUGGGAGAGGGUACUGGAAUUCCCGGUGUAGCGGUGAAAUGCGCAGAGAUCGGGAGGAACACCUAUGGCGAAAGCAGGUACCUGGACCAUUACUGACACUCAGCUGCGAAAGCUAGGGGAGCAAACAGGAUUAGAUACCCGCGUAGUCC